CAACCCUCAAGCCCUGCUUGGUGUUGGGGCCCUACGGCUGCCGUAGGCCCUGAAAAGAAGUGGCGGGCUCGCUGCAACUCCGAGCGUAGUAAUUCAUUAUCUCGCUAGGGAGGCGCGGCGGUGCUCCUGCCGUUAAAGACCAUCUUUAACCAAAGG
rnacentral:misc_RNA from 1 species